UUGUGUAUCAGUACAUGGCAUAUCAAUAAGCGGAGGAAAAGAAAACUAACUAGGAUUCCCUUAGUAACGGCGAGUGAAGCGGGAAGAGCUCAAAUUUGAAAUCUUCAAGGGUUUUCCCUUGACGAAUUGUAGUUUUAAAGAAGUGUUUUUCUGUUAGAGAGGUGGUAAAAAGUUCUUUGGAAUAGGACAUCAUAGAGGGUGAGAAUCCCGUAUUUGAUCACUUUCUACUAACGUUGUGAUACACUUUCAAAGAGUCGGAUUGUUUUGGGAAUGCAGUCCAAAAAUGGGUGGUAAAUUUCAUCUAAAGCUAAAUACUGGCGAGAGGACCGAUAGCGAAACAAGUACCGUAAGGGAAAGAUGAAAAGAAACUUUGAAAAGAGAGUUAAAACAGUACGUGAAAUUGUCAAAAGGGAAGCGUUUUGACACCAGUGUUGUUUUUCUCGAAAAUCAAUUAAAAAAUGGUGGGAUUUUUGUGUUGUAUUGACUUUAUCAGCUUUCUGCACUUUUUUUCUUGUCUUUUUUUAAUGCACUUUUUCGUUUAAACAAGUCAACAUCAGUUUUCUUUUGUUGUAAAAAGGGUCAUUGGAAGGUGGCUUCCUUUUCGGAGAAAGUGUUUUAUAGCCUUUGGCCUCUGCAAUCGGAGAGAUUGAGGUCUGCAGCGUAGAUCCUUCGGGGUUAGAUACAUUUGUGCUAAGCUAUAGCCUUUCAUAGACAACUUGUUGACUAUGCUCAGUCCAUGUAGCUUACUCGCUUAUGCUAUUUUUACCUACGCUUAGGAUGUUGACUGAUAUGUAGUCGUA
rnacentral:rRNA from 1 species